UACGUAGGGGGCAAGCGUUGUCCGGAAUCAUUGGGCGUAAAGCGCGUGUAGGCGGUUACGUAAGUCUGCUGUGAAAGUCGGAGGCUCAACCUUCGAAUGCCAGUGGAAACUACGUGACUAGAGUACGGAAGAGGAGAGUGGAAUUCCUGGUGUAGCGGUGAAAUGCGCAGAUAUCAGGAGGAACACCAACGGCGAAGGCAGCUCUCUGGGACGUUACUGACGCUGAGACGCGAAAGCGUGGGGAGCAAAC
rnacentral:rRNA from 1 species